GGUGAGUAACACGUGGGUAACCUGCCUGUAAGACUGGGAUAACUCCGGGAAACCGGGGCUAAUACCGGAUGGUUGUCUGAACCGCAUGGUUCAGACAUAAAAGGUGGCUUCGGCUACCACUUACAGAUGGACCCGCGGCGCAUUAGCUAGUUGGUGAGGUAACGGCUCACCAAGGCGACGAUGCGUAGCCGACCUGAGAGGGUGAUCGGCCACACUGGGACUGAGACACGGCCCAGACUCCUACGGGAGGCAGCAGUAGGGAAUCUUCCGCAAUGGACGAAAGUCUGACGGAGCAACGCCGCGUGAGUGAUGAAGGUUUUCGGAUCGUAAAGCUCUGUUGUUAGGGAAGAACAAGUGCCGUUCAAAUAGGGCGGCACCUUGACGGUACCUAACCAGAAAGCCACGGCUAACUACGUGCCAGCAGCCGCGGUAAUACGUAGGUGGCAAGCGUUGUCCGGAAUUAUUGGGCGUAAAGGGCUCGCAGGCGGUUUCUUAAGUCUGAUGUGAAAGCCCCCGGCUCAACCGGGGAGGGUCAUUGGAAACUGGGGAACUUGAGUGCAGAAGAGGAGAGUGGAAUUCCACGUGUAGCGGUGAAAUGCGUAGAGAUGUGGAGGAACACCAGUGGCGAAGGCGACUCUCUGGUCUGUAACUGACGCUGAGGAGCGAAAGCGUGGGGAGCGAACAGGAUUAGAUACCCUGGUAGUCCACGCCGUAAACGAUGAGUGCUAAGUGUUAGGGGGUUUCCGCCCCUUAGUGCUGCAGCUAACGCAUUAAGCACUCCGCCUGGGGAGUACGGUCGCAAGACUGAAACUCAAAGGAAUUGACGGGGGCCCGCACAAGCGGUGGAGCAUGUGGUUUAAUUCGAAGCAACGCGAAGAACCUUACCAGGUCUUGACAUCCUCUGACAAUCCUAGAGAUAGGACGUCCCCUUCGGGGGCAGAGUGACAGGUGGUGCAUGGUUGUCGUCAGCUCGUGUCGUGAGAUGUUGGGUUAAGUCCCGCAACGAGCGCAACCCUUGAUCUUAGUUGCCAGCAUUCAGUUGGGCACUCUAAGGUGACUGCCGGUGACAAACCGGAGGAAGGUGGGGAUGACGUCAAAUCAUCAUGCCCCUUAUGACCUGGGCUACACACGUGCUACAAUGGACAGAACAAAGGGCAGCGAAACCGCGAGGUUAAGCCAAUCCCACAAAUCUGUUCUCAGUUCGGAUCGCAGUCUGCAACUCGACUGCGUGAAGCUGGAAUCGCUAGUA
rnacentral:rRNA from 1 species